rnacentral:lncRNA from 1 species
AUAUAUAUAAAGCAGAAGUUUGACGGAUGCUUGAAAAUAUCCGUUCUAUCGUCGAACCACGAUGGCUAAGUUGGUACUCUUCCUUUUCUUCGUUUCCUUAUACGCAGCUUUCGCCCAAGCCAGACAAUGCGGUUCGUCCGGAGCAUCCGGUCUCCCGGGGGUCGAUACGAUGUUUAACGUCGCUCUGGUCGUUGCAUUCGGCUGUUUUCACAAAUACCUGAGUUUUAAGUGAAAUGGAACUGAAACUAGCGAUAUAAAAUUUCAAUUUUAUAAUUUAAUCGGUCGAUAAUUUAUUAUUUCGUACAGUAGAUUGCUUUCGUAAUAAUUAAUCUAUUAGAUAAAGUUUCAAUAUUGUCACUUCAAACGUAAGAGAUUUUGCUUAUUUUAAGGAAUCAAAAUAUGUAAAUGUCAAAUUACGAAUAAAGCGUAUUUAAAUUAUGA